GUCGACAAACUCUGGGCAACGGGAAAAACUUCGCGGGCCGCUGGACGGGCCACAUCGCUGAGCGCACCUUUCGUCCAGUCGGCCGGCGCCGCUUGCGUUCGUGGCGCGCCGCGUUCGUCUUGGUAGCUUGUAAACGCAGUUAUGCGGUGGAGCGCGUUUGAUCGGCGACGUUAGCAGGUUUCGGUGUCAUCUGCUGCUGCAGGGAGCAGCGGUGACCGUCACAACAUAGCUUCUAGUUCCGCGCUGCAGCUGCGUCCUUUCCUCACGAUGUGAACACUGUAUGUACUGCUGUGCUUCGCGUUACCGCUGACUGUGAAAAGGGAUUCAGCGCAACCUUGCGCUCGCGACAUACGUGUAUGCGAUUCUCGGAUACGUACUCCGGGCUGACAACGACGGAACCGAGCGGACGACGAUCGGCGCUGAAAGUUGGGGAUAACGUCGCCUCUUCCGCGCCGCCUGUCAGGAAGCGAGUUUGGUUCUCAAGCGCGCUGUCAGCCAUGGGUCUCAGUGACACCGAUGGAAGGGAGCCCAUCCUGAGUGUGGAUGGGUCGAGCCACCCUGAGGGGCCUAUGAGUGAGGCUGAGGUGAAGCCCUGCUCUCCGCAAGGGGGUGACGCCAACCACAACCACCCCACGACUCUCAACUUUGCUGCUGCCACAACCAACGGGAACAGCACUGCCAGCCUUUCACCACAAGCUCCCCCUGGCCAGCCCUCAGUGACCAGUGCAACGCCAGUGGAUGCACCCACCCCAGUUGCCUCCACACCUGUUAGCAAGGCUGACAUGGAGCUUCUUGCACGCCUCGAAGAGCAGAACAGGCUCUUGGAAUCAGACUCUAAGUCCUUGAACUCACUGACUUCAACACACUCCAGAAAGUCCUCAGACACCAGCCAGGUGUCGGUGGCAUCAGGUGCAAGCCAGCAGAGUGCCGCCCUGGAUGAUGACUCAGAAGAUACCUGGGUACUGUGGGGAAGGAUGGUAAAUGAGUGGGACACCUACAUCAAGAAGAAGAAUGCCUAUGUCAAGGAACACGUUCGCAAGGGUAUCCCACAACAUUUCCGAGCCAUUGCAUGGCAGCUAUUGUGCAAUGCACCUACAUGUGCAGCCCGUGAGCAGUACGCAGAGUACCUAAAGGCAAGCUCACCCUGUGAGAAAGUGAUCCGCCGUGACAUUGCACGUACUUACCCUGAGCAUGAGUUCUUCCGUGACAAAGAUGGUCCUGGCCAAGAGGGCCUUUUCAACGUCAUGAAGGCUUACUCACUGCAUGACCGAGAAGUGGGCUACUGCCAGGGGAGUGCCUUCAUCGUUGGCCUAUUGCUUCUACAGAUGCCUGAAGAAGAGACAUUCACAGUGCUGGUGCGAAUGAUGCAAGACUAUCGUCUGCGUGAAAUAUACAAGCCCAGCAUGGCUGAACUGGGACUCUGUAUGUACCAGCUGGAGUGCCUUGUACAGGAGUUGGUGCCAGAGAUCCACAUGCACUUCCAGGCUCAGAGCUUCCACACAUCUAUGUAUGCCUCAUCGUGGUUUCUUACUCUGUUCACUUCCUGCUUGCCGCACACCCUAGCAUGCCGAGUCAUGGACCUUUUUCUCUCUGAGGGAAUGGAGAUGAUUUUCAGGAUAGCCAUAGCUAUUCUUCAAUUUUGCAAGGAAGACAUACUCCAACUGGACAUGGAAGGCAUGCUAAGGUACUUCCAAAAGGAAAUGCCAAGCAAGUGUGAAACAGAUCCUGAUUAUCUUAUAAACCUGGCUCUGCAAGUGAAGUACAACAGCAAGAAGAUAAAAAAGCUAGAAAAAGAGUACACAGCGCUUAAGGUUAAGGAGCAUGAAGAAAUGAUUGAGCUGAGGAGGCUUCGUACAGAGAACAGGCUUCUAAGACAAAGGAUAGAACACCUCGAGCAGGAGAGCUCUGCACUGGCUGACCGUCUGAUUCAAGGCCAAGUAGUGCGGGCUCAGGAAGCGGAAGACAACUACAUCAUCAAGCGGGAACUUGCUGCCCUUCGUCAGCAAGAGCUUACUGUGCAGCAGGAGCUGCAGAAAGCCAACAACCAAAUCAAGGAGCUUCACCAAGCACAGACACAGCCGUCAUCACUGGACAGCCAGACAGAGGAUCUGCUGAAGUCACUGCAAGAUGAAUUGGUGGCUGUGAAGCUGCGCGAAGCUGAAGGUCAGGAGACUAUGCGUGGCCUUCGCCAAAGGAUACACGAGCUUGAAGAGGACAACAAGCGUCUAAGGGAAGCGACACCAAAUGAUAGCGUGGCAACUCUACAGGAAGAAUUGAUAGCGGUAAAAUUGCGUGAAGCUGAAGCUAACCUGUCCAUGAAAGAGCUUAGACAAAAAGUCGCCGACUUGCAAGCUGCAUGGGAGAAGCAUCGCUCGGAAAACCCCCAUCAGUCGGACAACCAGUCGACACCGUCACGAUGGAGUGGAAAUAAGUCACAAGUGAACCAGCUUCAGGAAGAACUGAUGACUGCUCGGCUCAAGGAAGCUGAUGCUACUGCUGAGCUGCGAGAACUGCGCCAAAGAGUCAUGGAGCUUGAGACCCAAAACCAAGUCAGCCUGAACCAAAUCCGCCGUCAAGCAGACGAAAUUGCAAAGUAUCAGCAAAUGUCAGACAAGGUCUCUGAGAAGGAGCGUGAGUUGCAUUCUCUUGUCCAGGAUGAGGCACGCAAGAUCACAAACCUGGAAUCACAGAUGAAAGAAGAGAGGAUGAAUGCUCGGAUUCGGGAAGUGGAGCACACCCAAAUCAUUGCAGAGAUGAAGCAGAAAAUCUCUUCCCUUGAGAUCAAGAAUCAAGAGCUGCUUACUGCUGGUCAACUGAGAGGCAGCACCGAAUCUGAAGAAGUGAAAGAACUUCAGGAUAAGGUGUCAGACUUGAAGGCUGAGAAGUUCCGCUUAGAGCUGCCCUCCCCGAUCUUGCCAAGCUUGUUGCACCCGUCGCCACUCACCCCCAUGGGGUGGGACUCUGGGCUGGGACUUGAGCAACUCUAGAACGCGCUGCCUCUCACUCUCACACUGCUCUCUCUCUCUCUGCCACGCAAGUAAAAGGUUAUGCAGCUGCAGAUAAUGAACAAGCGCUUGAGCUCCGCACUGGCAGUGGCUCGGCUGCGGCAACCAGAUACACAGAAGGCUGGAGCAGCGGCGGCAGCAGCGGCAUCUGGCCCUCUGAGCAGUUCACCACCACUUACCCUGGUGGGAGGGCUUAGCCGUAGCACAAGCCUCAUGGAAGAUAGUGUCACUGAGCAGCUUCUUCAGCUUGGACUGGAACUUUCGGUCAGCCAGCACCCAGCCAAGCAACCCAAGCUUGCCAAUGGGGAGCUCUAGUGUUACCAGGUUUAUCUGUCUGUUUCACCCCGAGGUCAGGGGUCCCUUGUGAUAUGCGUAAUGGAGUAUGGGAGCUUAUUGUUGAUUGCUCGGGGUGAUAUCACAUUCUGAGAGUGAUCUGUUUGCUGCUGGAGGCCUGUCUUGACUUUUCUUGUGAAAGAUAUGUUUCUUUUCACUAUAUCUUGUGUUCUAUGCCAUUGAAUGCUUUAACAAAUUAAGAGUAAGACUUGCUUGGAGUCCUGUUGCCCGUUUAAGUGUGAGCUGCCGAUAGUACAGGGGAAAUGUUGGCACAGUGAACAUAAGUGCCCACUGUUCCAGACUGCUUCAGCAUUUGAAAUCAAGUUUGUUUUUUGAUGGGCUGACCAACAUGGCUUAACAUGUGCUUGCAGAGGAGAUGCCUGUUCAAUGCUUCUGCAGUGUUAUAAUAUUAUCUUGCACGAAGUUUAACAAAAGAGGUAACAGCUAAAGAAUUUGUAAUCAACUACUCUAAAUGAAGGGAAGACCACUGAUUUGUUGUGUAGCAGGGAAGUUACUACCAAUGUGUAAUGAGUUUUGUCAUGGCUUAACACAUGAACAUGCAAACAGCUCAACCAGCUUGUUAGUGAUUUGUCCACUGAGCUGCUGAACCCAUCAAGAGGGAGGCCUAUGACCUGUAAUGCCAGUAUGCUUUACCCCAGCAAACAACGUCACUUCAAUUUUGUUAAUUGGGACUGCAUUUAAGCAUGUAUGUUUCAAGCCAGAGCUUUUGAUUGUAGUUAAUUGCUGCAGGGCUCAAUUGAAUAUAUUUGGUUUUGAUGUGAGUCUGUACCUAUCUUUAGGUAUGAAGCGUAAAACACAGGACCAACAAAAAAAAAAAGAAAAGGCACACAGAGCUCAUUAUGGCACCUUUAAACUCGUUGGUUUUAUUUUUUCACAGGUGAAAUGUAAAAGUGCAUUUCAAUUUGAGCAUCUAGCACACAACACACUAGGGCACAGUGAAAAAGGAUGAAGACCUGCACUAACUUCCAACAGAUUUGAACAUCUGCUGGAAUUUAGUGCCAGUCUUUGUCCUCUUUCACUGUGUCGUUGUCUUGUGCUGUGCGCUAGAUGCUGAAAUGGAAUAACAACAUGCCCAAAUUUACAUUAUUACAUUUUAAUUCUUCUAUUCUCCAAUGUUGUGAUGAGUGCUUUUUGAUUCUGUCCUCUAAAAGUAGGCUUUAUUCUUAGUCCCAUUGGAGUGAUGAUCUUAAUCGGAAUGUGUAAGCUUAUUUAUUAAUGUUUGUUUCUUUGCAUAACAUUCUAUUAGAAGACCUGUUAUGUUGCUCAUUUCAUUGACGUAAAGCCUGUAGUAUUCUCUUUCACUAUGCAUGGACUUAAAAAAAGCUUACCUUCCUAUGCAGCUUGUUCUGUACAAUGCUGGCAAGCUCUGUGCUCACUAACAGAGACCAUGAGCCCAAUGUUGACCGUAGCAGGCAUAUAAUUAUGUUCAUCGUAGUCCUUAUCCCUGGUGGGAUGCUUGCAUAAGCAAUAUGCUGUGCUGCCAUUACACAUGGAAAGCCUUUUUGUGUGUGUUAGUGUGAAAAAAUGGCCUCUUUGCCAAAAGGAUUAUACAUUGUUUUCUUUUCUCCUGCUGGCAGUUUAGUGGUGGAGUGUGUUAGUGGGGUGUUGGCUAUAUGUGAUGCCAAAUUAAGCUCAUGGCCAUUAUUUGGUAAUGUUUACAAUGCUACAAGUUUGUAUUUGUUCACACCUGGAAAGGGCAGAAAGGUUAGAAAUCUUUUUCCACUGCCAGGUGCUUGCAUGUGCAGCUGGAGCAAUGCAUUGUUGUAAACAGCACUGGAGGUCAGGGGCAUAGCCAGGAUUUCCCUUCAAAGGGGAGGGGGGUUUGACCCCUCUUUUUGUAUGUGCAUGCAUGUGUUUAACAAGACUUGAAAUUCGGCAAGAUGGUGCAUAGCUGAUGGGAACUUUUGUGCGCAGAAACAAGACAAUUCACCAGAACGAGAGAGACAGGACGUGUGUGUAUGUAUACACAUACUGAAAAUUUUUGGGGGUGGUGAGGGGAAAGGUUUGAACUCUCCCAAUAUUGCUUUCCUCUGGCUAUGCCUCUGCUGGAGGAAAUUCCUUUAACACACUGUUCAUUGCAGCAUUUUGGCAGUUGGAAUAGAAUCAGUGGGGAGGGAGGACUAUUGAGCUUAAAACAGUAUCUUUCAAAAUUUUUUAGUAUGCAAUAAAUUCUUAAUGAACUUCCAGGUAUGGAUAGGUGAAGUUAUUAUCAAGGCAGUAGCUAUCCUUUGUAACAAGGUAGAUAGUGCUCACUUUCACAGUUUGCCAGUGUGCUUGUGGUAUACCCUUGCACUUUAUACUAACUGAAACUAGUGCUUUUACUCUGUGUACCCAGCUAAAGUGGUUAUGUAAAGUAGUAGGUAAUAUACAGUUUAUACGUUGUGCUUUUGAUAAGCUUGUUAAUGGAGAUCAUAACUAGUUAAUAGCAUUCAUUGUCAGCUACAUUGCAAACUUGCAUUACCUCUAUUUACCAUAAUGAAUCUGAACAUGUACUGAAGGAAAAGCAAUUUCCAUUUGCAUGAAUUUCAUGAAAUGCAUGUAACUAAAAUCUUUUACUGGCAUUAUUAACUUUAUUAUGAUUUAGUGUGUGUUGGUGAAAAUUCCAUUGAGUAUUGGCAGCACUGCUAAGGCUAUUAUUGCCAUUAGCAUAAUAAAUUUCAAGUGUGGUGUAGAUCGUCUGCAGGCUGUCAGGAGCUUUGUGUCAUAUACAGCACCUAAGCUGUCUUGAAGCCAUUCACAGAAAUGUACUCUAUGUGUUGGGCAAGCGAUAUACAUUGAUAGCAGCUCACAAGUUGCAUCUUUUGUCAUUCUUGCACUAAACAGGUUGCAUGCUUUUUCUUUGUGGGUGUUUGUGUGCAUUAAUGACUGUAGAGAUUUUGCACUGUAGAGAUUUUGUAGAGACGUUCUAGGGUUUCGGUGCUAGGACUAUCAACUGCAUGAGUGGGGGUUUAUGAUCUCCUGAGCUGUUGUACGUUCAUGGACAGGCCAUUAUUCUGUUAAAAGCACCAUUGAACUGUUCAAGCUCAUUCAGCACAGUCUUUAAUGAAAAACCUCUGGACACCUUAAUUAUGAGACUCGGCUUUUACUCAUGUUGUCCCAUCCCAGCAGUGCAAGAGGCAUAUUUAUAAUGCUUCAUGCAUGUCUUUUUGUACUUGAAAGGAUUGCAUGUUAAUAACACCCGAGCAUGUAAGAUGAACUUUUUACACUUCUGGUCACAUACAAAUGUAGGCUGUGCAAACAUGGAAUUGAGUUGCAAACAAAUAAUUUCAGUGCAGUGCUACUUUCUCGGACAUUAUUGCUGGUGCAAAAAAGCAAAACCAUUUCAGUGUUGUACACUCAAUGAAUCUAUUGCUUCCCUCCAUGUGUGCUCCUGCCUGUUUUGGUGGAAUUGUGUUGGUGACAUGCUUUGUAAAGCGUCAGUUAUUAAGCAAAGUGUAAAAUCUUGAGUAAUGUUAUAGUGUUUAAUAUGUAUUAGCACACUUCUAGUGAAGUACAAGGUGAUGAGCACCCUCAGAAUAUUUCCUUUUUCUAGAAACAUUGCAUAGGUAUUGUAGAGGCCUGCUUUAGGAAUUGUAGUAGAAACUUAGGCACUGUAUUGAACUCUGCUUCACAGCUCUGAGGCAGGGCUUUUAAAGGAAGCUAGCUUUCUGUGGCUAGAAAAAAAAAAGUGGAUUAACAUGCGCCACUUCCUGCACUUUGUUUUCCGAUCAGUACUGUUUUAUACUCGAUAGCAGUGCAGCAGUACAUUAAGCAUGCUUCUGGUUUUUCUGCAUGUGUUGUCUGUCAUGCUGCCCUCCAUAGAAAUUAAGGCACCUACUUGUUUGCCCAUUACAUGUUGGUUAAAUUGUGCAUGGCUGGCCACUGUAGUCCUUCCAGUACACGAUUUUUGCAUUUCGUUUAAUGAACAAAACAUGAAUUCACUUCCCAUAUAGCCAUGUUAGCAUCAGUGAACUGUUUAUUUCCAAGCGUGUGUUAACACUUUUGGUAGAGUAUGAUAUUUUCAGAUGCUGCAUAUAUCUGGACAAUUAUCUAGGGAUAUUUCAUUUAAUUAGGGCACUUUUUGUACUUCUAAAACUUUAUUUGGUAAAUGAACCACAUAUGUGACUUGCUGCGUUUCCUGCAUCAGCUGUCAGCUGGUUAGCUUGUUUAGGAUUACAAGUGCAGACCUAUUUCGAGUGGCUUUUUCUGUGUGAGCAAGACCUCAUUGGUUGAAUUUUUUAGGCAAGCCAUCAUACCACAGGUUUUUUUUAUGCAGUUCAUCUAUCUGCUGUGUGCAGAUGUGUGAAAGAUACGAGCUUAACUGUUACACACUUAGCACAAUCAAAGUCUGACAAUGAUGCAGGACAAGUAGGCUGGAUUACAUUGCACAGACACCACUUCGGAGCUGGCUCAAAAAUGUCCCAGUGAUGAUUAAAUGUUGGAAACUUCGAGGCUGUAACAGUGUGCUUGAAACAUAUGACACAUCAAUCAUAUUUUGAUUUUAAUGCUCAGCUCCUUCACUAAACCAUAACUCAAGUUAUGUUUUGAAAAAGAUACUCUAUGAGGCCAGUUUUUCAGAAAAAUCUUUUUGUGAUAACAGAAAAUACAUACUUAAUCUUUUUGUACAUGUUGUAAGAUAAAUGUAAAUCAAGCAGAUUUUGCUACUUUAUUCAAAUUGUGCACUUAUGCGCUUAUUUUAUGAAAGCAGCAACACUUGUGCAUCCAUUGAUGGAGCAUACCUUUUUGCAAGGCAGGCAAUAUCUCUUGUAAAUAACUUUGUGGCCUCUUUAUUUUAUUUUUUUUUGUUACCUGAAAUGUUAAGGUAUUAAGAUAGACUACUUAAUACACAUAAUGUACAAUAAAUGUGCUGCUUUUCCAAGAGUUGUUGUACACCCAUUUUGAAUUGUGGUAAGAAUGACGUAUUGUAGAUUUUCGUGCUUGCCGUGUAUUACCAUACUAUAUAUAUUCUUGCAUUCAAGGCAGACAGGUACGCAUUCCUCAGAUGUUUAAAUUUUGAUAUUUUGUUCGAGUUUCUGUAAUAAAACUUAGAUUCUUUGGUACAGGUUAUUGCGAUAAUUACGUAUACUGAUCUGUGUUAACUUCUGUUUGUAUAUUUUUGUAAAUAAAGAGAGGCAUAUAUGAUAGCUAUUAUUUAUUUUGUGUUUUAUAGGGUGCUGUAAGGGCUAGGUCUUGCAAUGCACUGCAUCUUUUGUGAUCUUAUUUCAAAGUGAAGCAUUGCAACAUUAUGAGGAAAUGAGCUGUAUGGUGCUGUCCUGCAGCACCAAGGAGAGAAUGUGAUGCUGAUGUACUCUUUAGUAUGGCUGGCACAUGCUUGUUUGAGGCUCUGACACCAUAAAAGUUGCACUUAUGACAGUAUGCUUCCUAGUACGUCUAGUAUUCAAGUUAGGGAGGCGUUUGGCGUAAAAAAAAACCUUUUCUUUUAUAUACAAGCUGAUGUUGCAUUCCCCUCAUUUGUAUGUAGGAUUUAGUAGAAAGUAAUGGUGUGGUGGUGACAAUGCCCUCUUCCUUCUCCUCAAAGGGAAAUAAAAAAUGUUGUGCGUGUUGUCAUUUGAUCCUGUUUCCUGCCAUGUUUAGAGUCUCUCUCAUGCCUGUUUACUCUGGCUUCUGUUAAAAAAGAAAAUAAAGCACUGCUGCAAUAAA
rnacentral:misc_RNA from 1 species